UACGGGGGGGGCAAGCGUUGUUCGGAAUUACUGGGCGUAAAGGGCUCGUAGGCGGCCAACUAAGUCAGACGUGAAAUCCCUCGGCUUAACCGGGGAACUGCAUCUGAUACUGGAUGGCUAGAGAUUGGGAGAGGGAUGCGGAAUUCCAGGUGUAGCGGUGAAAUGCGUGGAUAUCUGGAGGAACACCAGUGGCGAAGGCGGCAUCCUGGACCAACACUGACGCUGAUGAGCGAAAGCGUGGGGAGCAAACGGG
rnacentral:rRNA from 1 species